GAGUUUGAUCGUGGCUCAGAUUGAACGCUGGCGGCGUGCUUAACACAUGCAAGUCGAGCGGUAACAGGCGUAGCAAUACGUGCUGACGAGCGGCGAACGGGUGAGUAAUGCUUCGGAAUCUUCCUCGUAGUGGGGAAUAACCUGGGGAAACUCAGGCUAAUACCGCAUACGAACUACGGUUGAAAGCGGGGGAUCGCAAGACCUCGCGCUAUGAGAUGAGCCGAAGUCGGAUUAGCUAGUUGGUGAGGUAACGGCUCACCAAGGCGACGAUCCGUAGCUGGUCUGAGAGGACGACCAGCCACACUGGGACUGAGACACGGCCCAGACUCCUACGGGAGGCAGCAGUGGGGAAUAUUGGACAAUGGGGGCAACCCUGAUCCAGCGACGCCGCGUGUGUGAAGAAGGCCUGCGGGUUGUAAAGCACUUUUAGUGGGGAUGAAAAGCCGAGGGCUAAUACUCUUCGGUCUU
rnacentral:rRNA from 1 species